AUUUACAGUACCAACAAAAUUGAUGAGAUCAUUGACUGUCCUGAAUAGCAUCUGAAAUUCUUAAUCAUCAUCACCGAGAACUACGCAGCAGGAAAAUAGAACAAAUCCAGUGAAUGAAAAUAAACGUGUAAUGAAUACUUAAAACGAGGGUUCUUUGAAAGAUAUUUGCAACUGGAAAGUCCAAAGAAAUUAGUGAAUUGCUUGUAUUGGUCAGUAAUUUGGCAGUAACUUCUCAAAAAGGUUAAAGAAAAUUGAAUUCAUCUUCAUUAGGAUGGGGUGCACGAAGGCUUAACGUGAGGACAGAAUUAUUAUUUUCAGAUUCAGUGAGCCAGAUGCAUACUGACAUUUAAUUCGAUUUAA